GAUGAACGCUGGCGGCGUGCCUAAUACAUGCAAGUCGAGCGAACAGACGAGGAGCUUGCUCCUCUGACGUUAGCGGCGGACGGGUGAGUAACACGUGGAUAACCUACCUAUAAGACUGGGAUAAUUUCGGGAAACCGGAGCUAAUAACGGAUAAUAUAUUGAACCGCAUGGUUCAAUAGUGAAAGACGGUUUUGCUGUCACUUAUAGAUGGAUCCGCGCCGCAUUAGCUAGUUGGUAAGGUAACGGCUUACCAAGGCGACGAUGCGUAGCCGACCUGAGAGGGUGAUCCGCCACACUGGAACUGAGACACGGCCCAGACUCCUACGGGAGGAAGCAGUAGGGAAUCUUCCGCAAUGGGCGAAAGCCUGACGGAGCAACACCGCGUGAGUGAUGAAGGUCUUCGGAUCGUAAAGCUCUGUUGUUAGGGAAGAACAAAUGUGUAAGUAACUAUGCACGUCUUGACGGUACCUAAUCAGAAAGCCACGGCUAACUACGUG
rnacentral:rRNA from 1 species